rnacentral:lncRNA from 1 species
AGAGAGAGAGAGAGAGAGGUCUUUUUGCUUGUUUGCAAAUAGGAGAGUGAGAGGAAAUGAGCCCUAAGCCACUCAUAUAACUCCCCUCAUCCAACAAUCACACAAAAACCCCCUCAACCAUGUAAACUGCACCAAACUGGGCCAUUUUCGGGCUCAGGAUUCGGACCUUGAAGCCAGGGUCUGGACCCCGUAGGUCUAGAAUUUCAGCACUUUUAGGACUUAGCCAAAUUUUCAGCAUUUUCAGCUUUCUUCUUCGUUUUCGCUCGUUUUCACUCGUUAGGCCUCCGAUUCAUUUCAAAUCGAACCGAGACUCUCAAAAAAUGUUUUCGAGCGCGUUUACAUCACCUUUUCAUCCCCGCUAAUGCUGGAUUUAGUCCAUGGUCCAACAAGCCGUUCGGGUCCCGUUUUCGCACCUACGCGCUCCGAAAACGCCCGAAUGCUUCCGAACCUCACCAGAAUCAUUUUAAUGACUUCCCAAUCAACAUACCUCAUAACUUCAUAACUUUAGAAGUUCGGUAUGUUACACAUUGAGGUUCUCAUUCCUUACAAUAUUAAUAGUACCAAGUACUUGGUGCUUUCAAGUUUUCUGCCGUUAGAUUUGCCCUUUUGAUCAUUUCCACCUGUUAGAUUAUACUAUUACAACAAUCAACCACUAAACCCUAGGGGACCACUAUAAUUUUAAUCAUACAUCCCUUCAUCCAAGGGCCAAAAACCUAAUAACACUAAGCAUUUAGUACUAUUAAUAGUAUAGUAGCCUAAUUCUACACAUACACACAUAUGUUGGAUUUUAUUGGAUUUUUUUGAUUUAAAACUUGUUAGGCUUCUUGGGCAGCCCAAUAAUUAAUGGGCCUUACUUGGGAGCCCAACUAAAGUUUCCAUAUGUGAGGUUUAGUCCCACAUUGGAAACUAAAAGGGUGUUGUUGGUGUAUAUAUAUAUUCCUUUAUUCUCAAGCUAGUUGCUUGGGAGAAAAUGGAAGUUAUGAUCUCGUUUAAACACACGCACGGCACGAGUCAGGCGGUCCGAGUUGCGGCACGGGCGGUUCAUACACCCGGUUUAUUUUAUUUUAUUUUUAUUUUUUCGUUUUUAUCUAUAUCCUAAUCCUAUCCGUAUAAUCUUAGGCUUAUCUUGUUCUACACGGAUUUGACACGUUGAAGCAAGAUUCUCGCCUUGAUUAUAUAUAUUGAAGGAGGUUGCACGAGUUAAAGAAGAACCCGAGCAUACCUAAACCCUACCUCGCCUCUUCCUACUUUCUCAUCAUUGAUCUUUUCCGCCGAUUUUUGCCAAGUUUUCUUUGCUGGAUCUGAAACUUGUUGGGUUCGUCUUAUGCCACCUUGAAAGCGUGUCAACGAGGUGAAACGUGAUCAUUAUAUCGCUGAAGAAAGUAAUUGCUGGGAAGCCUAGCACAUGGAGGGGCAAUUUCACUUCUAGGACAGUGCUCUAUACGCCUCGACCCACAGGCCUUUUCUAAUCAUUUUCUUUAAAGUAUUUAUUUAUUAUUUAUUUUCUUCUUCAGAUCUUUUCUAAAACUAAAACUAAACUUUCGAAUUGUUUUAAAGAAUAUUUUAAUAAAAAAUCAGAAAGAUUUUCCAACAAUAUAUAUAGUAGGACUACUAUACUCUUAUGAGUGUAGAAGCAUUUGUACUCAUAAGUUGUUUUCGAUGAUGGAGUUUCUGAAUCGACAAUCCAUAUUAUUAAACAUGAUCUAUAGUAUUUGAAACUUUUAGAAAAUAAAUUUCGUAAUUUUUAAAUCAUAAUAAAGUCUAUCAAGUGGGUAUAAAAUGAACAGUCAAAAUCGAAUAAUGUCCUAAAAAUGGAUGAUCGGAUUUCUUAAUUGAAGAUCAGAGUUAUUGCUCUUUAUCCAGAUAGUGGAUAACCGAUUUCAAUUCUUUUACACCGUUAAACUAGCAAGUAUCCAAUACUGGCCGUUAAAAAUUGUCAAAUUUGUGACCUCUUGAUCGUAAAGUAAAUGAUGUCGAAAAAUUAUAAAAUUUGAUUUCUAGAAGUUUUAAAUGAUCUAGAUAAUGUUUAAGUAAACGAUAGGAUGUGGAUUAGAACAGCUCUAUCAUCGAAAACUACUUAUGAGUACGAAGGUGAUCGUACUCAUAAAAAGUAAUAGUAAUCCAGACUCUCUCUCCUCUGCUCUGAAUAUAUAUAUAAUAUAUAUAUUAUAUAUAUAAUUAAUAUAUAUAUAUACUAAUAAUAUAUAUAAUAUAUAUAUAUAAUAGUAGAUAUAUAUAUAUUAUAUAUAAAUAUAUAUAUGAUGCAGUGAGCACGUAUGCUAUCGGAAGCACGGAGCCUUCGUGCUCCAGCUCGUUUCGAUGUUGCGACUUUCCAUAAUCGUCGAUCGACUACCGUUAACUUGUAUCUAAGUAUUUGAGGUAACUAGAAAAUAAAUUUUAUUUAUUUUUGCGAUAUCAAUUUGCCUAUGUGAAGAGGGGCUCACAAAUCAACGGCUGAAAAGUAAAAUCUUAUAAAAUCGUGGAAAGAUAUGACAUUAAAAUUUUAAACAGAAGAUAUUGAUCUUAUUUUAUAUAGUAUAAGAAUUCUUAUCAAUAAUUCACGUGAUUUGUAAUUUCUACACCUAAACUUGCAAACGGCUCACUACGACCCUUUGAAAUUUGUUGAUUUUGAGCCCCUACGAUCAACUAGCAAUAUGCAUAUCCGAAAAUAAUAAAAUUUAUGUUUCUAGGUAUUUCAAAUACUCUAGAUCAAGUUUAAACGGAGCCGUAUCACCGAUUCGAAAGUCCCGCAACAUCGAAACACGAGCUGGAAGCAACGAAGGUCCGUGCUUCCGAUAAGCAUAGGUAGCCUCACUUAUAAUAUUAUAAAUAUAUAUGAGGUCCGGCUACUAUACUAUUAGAGUACGAUCGCUCUCGUACUCAUAACGUUGUUUUUCAGAUAUAGAGCUUCCGAAUCGGAACAAUCCCACACCGUUAAACAUCUAUCUUACAAAUUAUAAAACUUCUAGAAUCAAAUUGUUAUAAUUUUUCGACAUCAUUUACCUUACAGAUCAAGAGGUCACAAAUUUGAACAAUUUUUAACGGACCAGCCGAUAUGGGAUACUUUCUAGUUGAACGGUGUAAAAGAAUCGGAAUUUGUUCUGAUUUUUUGAUAGAAAAUUCAUAUUCCUAAGAUAGAGUAAAUGUCAAAAAUCCGAUCUUGAAAUUGAAGAUCCGAUCAUACUUUUUUUUAGGAUGUCGUUUCGAUUUUGACGUACAUUUAGCUGCCACUUGAUGGACUUUAAUUAUGAAUUUCAAAAAUUUACUGAAAUGUAUUUUCUAAAGUUUCAAAUAACCUCUAUGAUCAUAUUUAAGCGGAGUGACGUCGUUCGUGAAGCUCCAUAAUCGAAACACAACGUUAUGAGUACGAGGAUCCAUAUCAUAAUAGUAUAAAUACCAUGGCCAAUAUAAUAUAUUAUAUAAUAUAUAUAGAUAUAUAGGCGUUGAGGCUAGAUAGUCUAUCGAAUAGUAAACGAGCUCGCGUUCCACGCGCUUUGUUUCUCGAAUGAUAGAGCCUCCAAAUUGACCGAUCGGCCACCGUUGAACAUGAUCUAUACUACUUAAAGUGUUAAAACAAAUUUUAAAUCUUUUCACAAUCAUAUUGUUUUAAUUAUCAAGAGGGUUCAAAAUUUGUAGUUUUAAUGGUCGAUAGAGGCGUUUUCUCGUUUAACGGGCGUAAGAUAUCCAAAUCAAAUUGAAUUUUUGUUAGAAAUUUUUUACCAUUUGUAAAGACAGUAUCUAUACUCUUUUGAUCUUGAUUACAAGACUCUUAAUCAUUGUAUUUUUAAAGAUAUUCAUUUUCAGGCCGUUCAUCACUUUUGUGUCUACUCGAUGGAUAAAGAGAACAAUAUCGAAAUAUAAUAAAUUUGAUUUCUUAAAAUACUUCAAGUGAUAUAGAAUCAUAGUCAACGUAACCGAAUUCGUCGAUUUUGGAAGGCUCAUCAAUCGAAUACAAUGGGUGGCAACGAGUCCGUUUGCUAUCGAUAGUAUUUUAGUCACUCUCUCUCCUCCCAUCUCUCUCUCUCGUCAUCCUCUCCUGUCUCUCUCUCGAGUUCUCUCUCUCUCUAGUUAUAUUAUAUAUAUAUAGUACGAGAGAGAGAGAGAGAGAGAGAGAGUUGAGCUAUGAUACUUUUACAAGUAUCACCAUCAUGGUGCUAUUAGGUUUUAAGCCAUUGGAUCUACUUUUUGAUUAUUAAUAGCCCUUGGAUUAAUCACUAUUCCACCUACCACCAUCAUCUCAACCUCACAUCUCUCCAUCCAAGGGCUAAAAGCACACAAAUAUCAUCCCCAUGAUACUUUUACAAGUAUUCUAGCCCUACUCUCUCUCUCUCUCUCUCUCUCUCUCUCU